GAUGAAGAACGCAGCGAAAUGCGAUAAGUAAUGUGAAUUGCAGAAUUCAGUGAAUCAUCGAAUCUUUGAACGCACAUUGCGCCCGCCAGCAUUCUGGCGGGCAUGCCUGUUCGAGCGUCAUUUCAACCCUCGAGCCCCCCCGGGGGCCUCGGUGUUGGGGGACGGCACACCAGCCGCCCCCGAAAUGCAGUGGCGACCUCGCCGCAGCCUCCACUGCGUAGUAUCACACACCUCGCACCGGAGCGCGGAGACGGUCACGCCGUAAAACGCCCAACUUCUUAGAGUUGACCUCGGAUCAGGUAGGAAUACCCGCUGAACUUAAGCAUAUCAAUAAGCGGAGGA
rnacentral:misc_RNA from 1 species